GGUUCAAGGAAAAAAGUUCCUAAUUAAUGAAAAGAGUGUCUAAUCAACAAUGGCAUUAUUUUCAAUUGACUCUGCAACUAGUGACUUUCUUCACAACUGCCCCCAGUUUGACACCAAAACAUUGACAACAAAUAUAUAUUGACAUAGUCUACUAAAUGAAACUGUGUAAAAAACAAAAUGAUGGAUAUUUCAUAUUUUCAUACUGAAACGCCAAUGUUAUUCUCUAAAUUGAUGGUUUAUAUUUAAGAUGAUGUUUUACAGCUUUUUUGUAAUUAUAAUUUUUUAAAAUAUUAUUAUUUAAUAUAUUUCACAUGUGACAAGGCCAGCGAGAGGGCCAGAGAUAAUAACAGACACCUGUGAUAUCUGAAAUACCCCAAAGGGCCACUAGAUGUCUGGUGAUAAAUGACAUAAAAUCCUUGAAAGAUACCAAAAUUCUGGUAGGUUACUGGCAAAAUGUGAAUGUUUCCGGUAAUAUACCCUCCAUUUGCAACCUUAACUGUACUUGCUUGGCAAGACCUUCUUGGGAUGCUUGUGGUGUAGUGUGUGGUGAGAGGUGGUAUGAUGGUAGUACUAUGAUGUCAGUAGUAGAGAUGUGUAGUGAGACAUGGUAUGAUGGUAGUACUAUGAUGUCAGUAGUAGAGAUGUGUAGUGAGACAUGGUAUGAUGGUAGUACUAUGAUAGGUAGUAGAGAUGUGUAGUGAGACAUGGUAUGAUGGUAGUACUAUGAUAGGAGUAGUAGAGAUGUGUAGUGAGACAUGGUAUGAUGGUAGUACUAUGAUGUCAGUAGUAGAGAUGUGUAGUGAGACAUGGUAUGAUGGUAGUACUAU
rnacentral:lncRNA from 1 species